rnacentral:rRNA from 1 species
AGGAUAAACGCUGGCGGCGUGCCUAACACAUGCAAGUCGAACGUCCUACGCAAGUAGGGAGUGGCGGACGGGUGAGUAACACGUGGGCAAUCUACCUUUCGGUGAGGAAUACCGGCGAGAAAUCGCCGACAAUACCGCAUACGCUUCGCAAGAAGCAAAGUCGCAAGACGCCGGAGGAGGAGCCUGCGCCCGAUUAGCUCGUUGGUGGAGUAAUGGUCUACCAAGGCGACGAUCGGUAGCUGGUCUGAGAGGAUGAUCAGCCACACUGGGAUUGAGAACGGCCCAGACUCCUACGGGGGGCAGCAGUGGGGAAUAUUGGACAAUGGGCGAAAGCCUGAUCCAGCCAUGCCGCGUGAGUGAUGACGGCCUUAGGGUUGUAAAGCUCUUUCGUCAGGGACGAUAAUGACGGUACCUGAAGAAGAAGCCCGGCUAACUUCGUGCCAGCAGCCGC